rnacentral:lncRNA from 1 species
CCAGAAUUACACCGGUGUAAAGAGAUUGUAAUCGGACUCUAUAUGGCUGUAUCCGUAAUAGAACACUGAGAGCUGCUGACCUGUUCAUCGCUCGUGAUUGUCUGUUACUGUGAUGUGACUCAUGCUGCUCAACAUAAACUGCUUCUAGGAUCACUGAAGCAUGCUCCCACUUCUUCUGCAGGCCAGAGAAAAAGACAGUGAAGAUGGCUUGAAGCUUCUUGGUUUUCUGUCAUGGGAGAAAUGGUGCUACAAGACUUUAUGUACUUCAUUCUACAUUACAUUACCAAAGAAAGGAAGCAUCACACUACGUGAGUGUUUAAUAGGAAUGUGUGGGCAUC